GUGAGAACCCCGUCGGCUCCGGUUGCGGAUGCUCCACGAGACGCUUUCGCAGAGUCGGGUUGUUUGGGAAUGCAGCCCCAAUCGGGCGGUAAAUUCCGUCCAAGGCUAAAUAUUGGCGAGAGACCGAUAGCGAACAAGUACCGCGAGGGAAAGAUGAAAAGGACUUUGAAAAGAGAGUCAAAGAGUGCUUGAAAUUGUCGGGAGGGAAGCGGAUGGGGGCCG
rnacentral:rRNA from 1 species